AAUUUAAAAAAAUUUAAAACGGUACGCAGCAUGUCAAUUUAUAUAGACUCGUAUAUAUAUAGUCUCGCUGGAAUUAUGACGCAACAUUGACUACUACGGUGUUACCGUUUUCGUUUCGGCUCUACUUAAGAGAACGCAUCUGCGGAACCCCCUGACACGGCUUGCCACUAAAUCCGGCAAUGUUCACACCAGAAAAAGUCGAUACCGAGGCGAGACUAGUCGAUCGUACCAACGGUACUAACUGAACUUGGUACAGUUGUUAUAUUGGAAUUUGACAUUGCCUAUUGAACUCUAGUACACAUGAAGCUAAACAUGCUUAGAAAAAACAAACGCUAGACUGAGAAUUAUUACGGAACACAAGUAAAAGAAGAAAAAGCAUUUGAAUCUUGAAUAGUACGAUGCCUUUUUUUUAUCGCAAUAGCUCGUAAAAUUGCCGCAAGGUGCCGGGCGGAUGCAAAUGCACAUUAUUUUAGUGUAGCUCAUGACCAUCGGCUACUUUCACACGGUAUUUGGUGCAUUGUCCUAUAAAAACUGCACCGUUAAAAGAGGCAGCAUAUGUAUUAGUUUUGUAAACAGCCUACUGCUUAGGUUGAAAAAAAGUUUAUAAUAUAUAUGUAUUCAUUACACUGAAGUAAUUUUCAGGUCGAGUAUCACUAUGUCAGACUUGGAAUAAAAACGGUUGCAUUUCACUCGUUAUUCACAAGCUGGGCUAUACGAGAAAAUAUACCGUUUGUUAAAAAAUAUAACGCUAUGUUAUGCUUCACUAUUCACCUUG